rnacentral:rRNA from 1 species
UACAGAGGGUGCAAGCGUUGUUCGGAAUUACUGGGCGUAAAGCGUGCGCAGGCGGUUGUGCAAGACCGAUGUGAAAUCCCCGGGCUUAACCUGGGAAUGGCAUUGGUGACUGCACGGCUAGAGUGUGUCAGAGGGGGGUAGAAUUCCACGUGUAGCAGUGAAAUGCGUAGAGAUGUGGAGGAAUACCGAUGGCGAAGGCAGCCCCCUGGGAUAACACUGACGCUCAUGCACGAAAGCGUGGGGAGCAAACAGG